UCACCCCUCAAGCACAGCUUGCUGUUGGACGCCGGCGGCGCCGCUAGGCCUCGCCCGUCUCAAAGAUAAUGACGGCGUCUGUGAGGACUCCUGUACACUGAGCUUUCGGGCACGUACUAGGCUAGAAUUCUCCAGACCCGGUCUUCAAUCUCGGCCCUGACGGGUUGGGACUCUUUCACAA
rnacentral:misc_RNA from 1 species